GACUGUGGCAGAGGAGGGCUGCUUGGACAUCCAGGACAUGGUUCCAUGACAGGCUCACCCGUUACCUCUCCCGUCAGGUCCUGUGGCGGCAGGAAGCCUUGACCCUCCACCAGCCCAGGCUCGGGUCCAGGCAUAUGAUCUGUUCAGGAUUCACGAUUGGAAACCUGGAUUAGGACUCGAGCCAGCUCUGCCCUCAGCCCUCAGCCACGGAGAGGAACCAGCUUUCAUGAAUGGAAACGUUACAGGGAGCCAUGGCACUUGAAGAAUCAGCGUAUCGAUCUGCUUGAAUGUGGUCACUUUAAUUGUCUCUGACUCUCCGAGGACUGCGAACUGUGUGUGGAGGGCGUGAGACCCGGGACCAGAGCAGGGGCUGAGGAAUGCUUCAAUUAAGGCACCGUCAUCCCUCUUCAGAUUACGGAACGACCACACAGGGGGCUCUGUCACUAACCCAGGGCCUCAGGGGGCUGGACGACGGGCGAGUGCUGAUGGGCACCUCCAUCAUGUGGUCCCUCCUGCCUGUCACUGGAGGUACCCUGCAGGUUCCCUAGGGCUCCGGAUGCCGUUUCCAUGCCUGCAACUCGCAGUUCUUAAGUUUCAUCUGUUCUACUGGCUAAAACAGAAUGCUUCUAGCCCCACUUUUUUCUUAAUCUCAGUUUUGACAACUAAUUGUUCAAGUAAAAAACCAAACCAAAACAAACAAACAAACAAAAACAGUGGAGCCACCUGAAUUCCCACCUUCUGCCUCCAACUUAGCAGCAAGUCCUGUUGGUGUUUCCAGUCGCCCCAGUCCACCGCCAUCUCUCCAGGACCACCCGGGUCGCGUGUCU
rnacentral:lncRNA from 1 species